rnacentral:rRNA from 1 species
GGGCUUGACAUCCCACGAACCUGACGAAAGGCAGGAGUGCCCGCAAGGGAGCGCGGAGACAGGUGGUGCAUGGCUGUCGUCAGCUCGUGUCGUGAGAUGUUGGGUUAAGUCCCGCAACGAGCGCAACCCUCACCUCUUGUUGCCAUCAGGUCAUGCUGGGCACUCUAGAGGAACUGCCCCGGUCAACGGGGAGGAAGGCGGGGAUGACGUCAAGUCAUCAUGCCCCUUACGUCCUGGGCUACACACGUGCUACAAUGGCCGGUACAAAGGGAUGCCACACCGCGAGGUAGAGCUAAACCCAAAAAGCCGGUCUAAGUUCAGAUUGGAGUCUGCAACUCGACUCCAUGAAGGAGGAAUCGCUAGUAAUCGCGUAUCAGCACGACGCGGUGAAUACGUUCCCGGGCCUUGUACACACCGCCCGUCACACCACGAAAGCCUGCUGUACUCGAAGUCGCUGAGA